AUUUGUAACCCAAUACAAAAACCUCAUCCUAGUUCAAAGUUUCCCAGCUCACUCCUUUAUUCCCCAAACCCGACCCAUUACAGUAUAACUAAACGAUCCCAACGAUGUCAAUUCCAUCAUAAAGAUAGACGGAAAUCAACUAAUUUCUUGUGUCUUCUUCAUCUCUCUGCCCUGAGUACAAUUUGGUAGGAAGAACACUGUGAGAUAGCGAGAUCUCGUGCGUUUUCUCAUCCUUGUUCGAAAUCAAGUGCCCAGAUUGUUGUUCCGUUGAGGAAUUGUGCAAUUUUGUAUAGAUUCCCAGCUGUCCAACCCUAUCUCUUACAAUAAAACAAAUUUUGACUUUGGAAUGGGUCCUCAUUUCCGCCCAUUUUUUCAAAAGACCUCCUCUAUUUAUGCCCCCUUGUAAUUUUUUGUUUGGGAGCUGGGGGGAAUUAGAAAAUAUUUUUGGGUACAGAGAUUUUUGGGAGGUAGGAAAAUUUCUAGAUAAAAAAUACAUAGAAUUUAAGUAAAACGGAAAGAACAUAGUGCAAAAUCCAAACAAAGAAAAUAGGAAGUUCUUCGAUUCAAAUUUUUGAAAAGGCUAGUCGUUGCUUUGAAUUCUAAAUUUCGGCAAGGGUUUCUGGUUCGUGAUUUCACUUUCAUGGUGGAAGGAUCACAACGUCUAGCUCGAUGUCUUUUUGUUAUAACAGAAAAGGCUGUUCAAAUUUCAGUCUGAAAAUGCCUAUAUUUGCAAUUCGAGUUGGGUAAAGUCUGAGUUUCUUAUUUUAUUUUCCCAAUCUUAGUUUCGAGAGAUUUAAGGGUUUAAGGUCAUUUGAAUCAUGAUUUCUUUGGUGUUAUCCUUCAUGGGUAUGGUAUAGUGAUUUCCCUAACUUCCCGUAAUCUAGUUAUGCCACCUUGUGACUUUUUUUUGAAAACAUGGAAGCUAGUUCAUGCUAAUUUAUUUUCUGGUAGUGUGUGGAAAUUAGUUCAUGUCUUGUUGCUCUCUAUUUACGUACAGUAAGAGGUCUCACAUUGUAAUGUUAUUAAAUUUUAGUGGCUUCUACAUGUUUAAUGCGGGUAUCACCUAAUUUGAUUACUAUUAAGUGCAUAGAUGGACAAUAUAUUUUUUAUCAUUUCAUCUUGUGAGUAUGUUUUAAUGUGGUUAUAUAUUUUUAUGAAUUUUUAUUAUUUUUAUUGAAAAGUUGUCAAUUUAGCUAUUGUUUUAGAGUCCUUGGAUUGUAUUUAUUACUACCCAUUUAGAGUCCUCACUGUCUUUUUUAAAAAAAAAUCUAUAAUGUUCUGCUUUUCCCUAUUGAUCCCCCAUGUUUGAUGCCUAUAGUGUCUUUUUGCCCUUUCAAGUGUUAUAAUCUGGAAGGUUGUGCUUUGUUGUGUUGCUGUCAACUUAUAGUGACUUGUUUCGUGACAUUAGUAUGAUUCUCGUUAUGUUUGAUUGUCAUUACGAUAUGGGUGUCAUUGUUCGAUUGUAUGGUCCUCUAAAUCCCUUGUUUCUUUUGGUAUUUUUGCCUGUAGCAUCCUCAAGUGACCUAUACUUUGCUAUUACGUGUUCCCAGGUAGCUUAUAUAUGUUUAGCUCUAUCUAGUUCUCUAAGUAAUUAAAUUUGGAGGUGUACAGAAAUAAUGUUGAUCGAUUAUCUCUCUAGUUGUAAUUUAUUACCCCUUUUAUCCUCAGUCCCCUUUGUCAUGUUAUUGUACUGCAAUUUCUUUUAGUUUAUGUUUUUUUCAAAUACUUAGUUUUUGGUAAAUAUGUAGUUUGUUAUUAUAAAAUAUGUGGUGAUUUAGGCUCACUGUUAUUAAUGCUCUUAGCUUAGUUGCUCAAUCCUUGUCAUAUCGCAUUGGUACUAUUAAUGAUCACAAUUCUUUAGAUGAAUGUUAUGCUCUAUUUAUUUAUUUUUUUAAAAGAAAGGUCUGGCUAUAUAUAUGCCGAUGUACUAUUUUUUCCCAAAUAAGUGAAUAUUUUCCAGUAAGUUAACUUGUUUUCCCUAUGCUACGAUAGUUAAAUUAUUUAUUAAAUUUCCCCUUUAUUUAUGUUGAAUGUAAAGGAACUCGAGUUCACUAUGAACAAUUUUCUUCCUCUCGCAUUCCUACAUAGAGCCGCCAAGGCUCAAAUUCCUCCAUCGAGUAAAGCUCACAAAUCGACGUACAAACCAAGAAGUUGAGGAUUUUUGCUUAAGAAGCCCAAUUUUUUUUUCUGAACUUUGUAUUUUUUUAUUUUUUGGUCUAUGCCCUUGUUUCUUUUAUCAUUAUUGUAUUGUUAGAAUUUUAGGACAUGUGGAAAGGGGCCAAAGGCCCAAAACAAAGUGGGUCCAAAUACCGGUCAUGACGGACAUAAAUCAAAUUCUCUCUCUCUCUC